UGACUGUACUAAGGUAGCAUAAUCAUUAGCUUUUUAAUUGGUGGCUGGAAUGAAGGGUUGUAACUAGGAAGGUAGUUUUGUUUAUAUAUUUUGAAUUUAAGUUAAAGAUAAAAACGUUUUUAUUAAUCUUUGGGACGAUAAGACCCUAGAAGUUUUAGAGUGAUUUACUCUUUGGUUGGGGUGACCGAUGAAGAUAAAAAUCUUUAUUGUUGGGUUGAGGAAUAAAUUAAUUACUCUAGGGAUAACAGCAUUAUUUAGUUUUGAGU
rnacentral:rRNA from 1 species